rnacentral:rRNA from 1 species
AGAGUUUGAUCAUGGCUCAGAACGAACGCUGGCGGCAUGCCUAACACAUGCAAGUCGAACGAGACCUUCGGGUCUAGUGGCGCACGGGUGCGUAACGCGUGGGAAUCUGCCCUUGGGUUCGGAAUAACAGUUAGAAAUGACUGCUAAUACCGGAUAAUGUCUUCGGACCAAAGAUUUAUCGCCCAGGGAUGAGCCCGCGUAGGAUUAGCUAGUUGGUGAGGUAAAAGGCUCACCAAGGCGACGAUCCUUAGCUGGUCUGAGAGGAUGAUCAGCCACACUGGGACUGAGACACGGCCCAGACUCCUACGGGAGGCAGCAGUGGGGAAUAUUGGACAAUGGGCGAAAGCCUGAUCCAGCAAUGCCGCGUGAGUGAUGAAGGCCUUAGGGUUGUAAAGCUCUUUUACCCGGGAUGAUAAUGACAGUACCGGGAGAAUAAGCCCCGGCUAACUCCGUG